rnacentral:rRNA from 1 species
AAUGUGGUGUUUAGGUCAUUCCGCAGAGGUACUGCUCCACCCCAAGUCCAGCAAUGAGUACGGUGGUACAGACUUGGCCCACAGAGGGUGAAAGGCCCGUGGGGGUGGAGGUCAGGUAUGUCGGUAUCUCUCUGGGUAGACCUUGGAGUCGGGUUGUUUGUGAAUGCAGCCCGAAGUGGGUGGUAAACUCCAUCCAAGGCUAAAUAUCAACACGAGUCCGAUAGCGAACAAGUACCGUGAGGGAAAGUUGAAAAGUACUUUGAAGAGAGAGUAAACAGUACGUGAAACCGCUCAGAGGUAAACGGGUGGAGUUGAACUGCAAGCACUGAGAAUUAUCGGCGGUGAGUGUGGUUUUUGCUUGGUUUCGGUUGAGCUCGGAAGUCCGUGUUGUAGCGGGCCAUUGCCUUCUGGUGGUGGUGCGUAUACGCUUAUCAGGUGUUGCGCGCUUCCGAUGCCUCGGAUCAGCUUGCCGUUGAACUUCUUAGUGUGAUCACCACGACCGACACCGCUGCCCGGCUGCUAUGGUCAAACCAGUCGCGUGUUGCUCUUUGUAGCUUAACGCGGUUGGGAUGGCAGGUGGCUCGUUAUUUUAGCGCGUGUGGCUUGCCACGCGUGUUGAGUUUCGGGUGUUACAAGCCGAUCGUAGUGGUUCUGUGCGGUGUGUCGGAGACAGCGGCUUGUGUGCUUGCGCGUGCCAGUUCGGUCGGCGGAUUCGGGUGUGGUUGUUGUGUUGCCUGUUCAACCAGGCCCAGCAAUGGCUCGGAAUCGUUCGGCUGGCGGUUGCGCGUGCGACAUUUUCAAGGGCCUACAGUCUGUGGUGUAGUGGUAGGCUAUCCACC